rnacentral:rRNA from 1 species
UACGUAGGGUGCAAGCGUUAAUCGGAAUUACUGGGCGUAAAGCGUGCGCAGGCGGUUUUGUAAGUUUGUCGUGAAAUCCCCGGGCUCAACCUGGGAAUGGCGAUGAAGACUGCAAGGCUAGAAUCUGGCAGAGGGGGGUAGAAUUCCACGUGUAGCAGUGAAAUGCGUAGAGAUGUGGAGGAACACCAAUAACAAAAACAACCCCCUAAAUCAAGAUUGACGCUCAUGCACGAAAGCGUGGGGAGCAAACAGG